rnacentral:tmRNA from 1 species
GGGGGUGUUUACACUUCGAUAGUUCGUAAGGGUGUUUGUUUGCAGGCCGGAGCCGGUUGUUCUCCGUUAUCAACACGCCAAUUCUACAAAUGCCAAAUCGUUUGUAGCCAAAGUUCGUGCGAGCUUUGCUCAACUGAACUUUGCACCAGCCUUCGCUUAAUAAGCCUAGGCCGUUCUCUUAAGCCAUGCUCGGUACCUUAAGAGAGCGUUAUUUAUCGAGCUCGACUGAAUUCAUGUCUUUAGGAUUCAGUUCAGAAUUUAUAAGACAACCGGACUUGCGGUUUUGUGCCGCUUCACGUAAUUUCCGGUCAAUCAGCGGCACUGAGCCUGGAUCUGACAACACGCGAACGAGCUAGACACGGGUGCAAACCCCGUCACCUCCACCA